rnacentral:rRNA from 1 species
GACGAACGCUGGCGGCGUGCCUAAUACAUGCAAGUCGAACGAAGCUGUUUUAACUGGUGCUUGCACCGACUUAAACAACUGAGUGGCGAACGGGUGAGUAACACGUGGGUAACCUGCCCCAAAGCGGGGGAUAACAUUUGGAAACAGAUGCUAAUACCGCAUAACCACAGAAACAACAUGGUUUCUGUGUCAAAGAUGGUUUCGGCUAUCACUUUGGGAUGGACCCGCGGCGUAUUAGCUAGUUGGUAAGGUAAUGGCUUACCAAGGAAAUGAGACGUAGCCGAACUGAGAGGUUGAUCGGCCACAUUGGAACUGAGACACGGCCCAAACUCCGACGGGAGGCAGCAGUAGGGAAUCUUCCACAAUGGACGAAAGUCUGAUGGAGCAAAGCCGCGUGAGUGAAGAAGGUUUUCGGAUCGUAAAACUCUGUUGUCAGAGAAGAACGUGUGCGAGAGUAACUGUUCGUGCAGUGACGGUAUCUGGCCAGAAAGCCACGGCUAACUACGUGCCAGCAGCCGCCGUAA